rnacentral:rRNA from 1 species
AGCGAACGCUGGCGGCAGGCCUAACACAUGCAAGUCGAACGAACCCUUCGGGGUUAGUGGCGGACGGGUGAGUAACACGUGGGAACGUUCCUUUAGGUUCGGAAUAACUCAGGGAAACUAGUGCUAAUACCGAAUGUGCCCUUCGGGGGAAAGAUUUAUCGCCUUUCGAGCGGCCCGCGUCUGAUUAGCUAGUUGGUGCGGUAAAGGCUCACCAAGGCUACGAUCAGUAGCUGGUCUGAGAGGAUGACCAGCCACAUUGGGACUGAGACACGGCCCAAACUCCUACGGGAGGCAGCAGUGGGGAAUCUUGCGCAAUGGGCGAAAGCCUGACGCAGCCAUGCCGCGUGGAUGAUGAAGGUCUUAGGAUUGUAAAAUCCUUUCACCGGUGAAGAUAAUGACUGUAGCCGGAGAAGAAGCCCCGGCUAACUUCGUGCCAGCAGCCGCGGUAACAC